rnacentral:rRNA from 1 species
GUGUCAGCAGCCGCGGUAACACGUAGGGCGCAAGCGUUGUCCGGAAUCAUUGGGCGUAAAGAGCUCGUAGGCGGUUUGUCGCGUCUGCUGUGAAAACUCGGGGCUUAACCCCGAGCUUGCAGUGGAUACGGGCAGACUAGAGGUAGGUAGGGGAGAAUGGAAUUCCCGGUGUAGCGGUGAAAUGCGCAGAUAUCGGGAGGAACACCGGUGGCGAAGGCGGUUCUCUGGGCCUUACCUGACGCUGAGGAGCGAAAGCGUGGGGAGCGAACAGGAUUAGAUACCCCCGUAGUCC